rnacentral:rRNA from 1 species
GUCCAGAAUUGAAUUUUAGUUCGACUUUAAACUCACCUAAAAGAACAAAUAAUCUAAAUGUGAGUUUAACUGUUACUCUGAAGAGGUACAGCUCUUCAGACUCAGGAGACAGCCUAGAAUAGAGAGUAAACUUUACAGCUACCAUAGUUGGCUUAAAAGCAGCCAUCAAUUAAAAAAGCGUUCAAGCUUAACACAACAAUUAAACCCAACCUAAUCCCUAUAUUUAAUAUAAACUCCUAUAAAUACAACUGGACUAUUCUAUAUUAAUAUAGAAGCAAUAAUGUUAAUAUAAGUAACAAGAAUAACAAUUCUCCCUGCACAAGCCUAUAUCAGACCGAAUAAUUCACUGAUAGUUAACAGUCUUAUAUACUUACAUAUAACCUAGUCUCUUAUUAACCCCUCUGUUAGCCCAACACCGGAGUGCAUUUAGGGAAAGAUUAAAAGAAGCAAAAGGAACUCGGCAAACACUAACCCCGCCUGUUUACCAAAAACAUCACCUCUAGCAUUACCAGUAUUAGAGGCACCGCCUGCCCAGUGACAAUCGUUCAACGGCCGCGGUAUCCUGACCGUGCAAAGGUAGCAUAAUCAUUUGUUCCUUAAAUAGGGACUAGUAUGAACGGCUUAACGAGGGUUAAACUGUCUCUUGCUUCCAAUCAGUGAACUUGACCUUCCCGUGAAGAGGCGGGAAUGUUACAAUAAGACGAGAAGACCCUAUGGAGCUUAAAUCUACUAAACCUAUGCAUCAAUUACUCACCCCUACGGGAGACUAAGAGCUUGCCUGAUAGGUUUAAAAUUUUGGUUGGGGUGACCUCGGAGAAUAGAACAACCUCCGAAUGAUUAUAACUUAGACAUAAACCAGUCAAAGUCCCACUCAUUAAUUGACCCAAACAUAUUGAUCAACGGAACAAGUUACCCUAGGGAUAACAGCGCAAUCCUACUCAAGAGUCCAUAUCGACAGUAGGGUUUACGACCUCGAUGUUGGAUCAGGACAUCCUAGCGGUGUAACCGCUGCUAACGGUUCGUUUGUUCAACGAUUAAAG